CGAUUUUAUUAAGAAAAAGAAAAAAGAAAACCUAAAACAACCAUUGAAAGCACAAGAAAAGCAGACUAAGGGCCGAGCCUCAUUAAAACUUUUCAUGGAAAACCCAAAGGGAAAAACCAUGAAAAGGAAAAAGAGUACCCGUCUACUGGAAAAUAAAAACGAAAAAGGAGAGAGCGGAAGGGAAAGUUUCCGGAACUCCGGCCUAACCAUCGUCCCCAAACAAUCCCGGCUCUCUCCCCAACAAAGAAACGGAAACAAGAGCAAAAAGGCCGGUGAAACGCCGUUGCCAAAAUGCCCAAAAACAAAGACCAAGUGACACGGCCGGUUAGACGCCGUCGCCGUAGUCACCAACACAAGCCAAAGAAGAGAGCUACACGGCCGGUGAGACGCCGUCGCCGAUAGCUCCCAACAAGAAAAGAACAGUCCACCAACAGGGAUUACACGGCCGGUUAUACGCCGUCGCCGAUAGAUCCCAUCGAGCGGACCCAAAAGCCUGAAAGUUUCAGCCGGUGAGACGCCGUCGCCAAAAACUAACAAAAAAAGAGAA
rnacentral:lncRNA from 1 species